AGAGUUUGAUCCUGGCUCAGAAUGAACGCUGGCGGCGUGCUUGACACAUGCAAGUCGAACGGUAACAGGACUAGCUUGCUAGUUGCUGACGAGUGGCGCACGGGUGAGUAACAUAUAGGUAACGUGCCUCUUAGUCUGGGAUAGCCACUGGAAACGGUGAUUAAUACCGGAUACACCUUUUAAUUUGAUGUUAAAAGGGAAAGGUUUUUCGCUAAGAGAUCGGCCUAUAUUGUAUCAGCUAGUUGGUGAGGUAAGAGCUCACCAAGGCAAUGACACAUAGCGGGUUUGAGAGGAUGAUCCGCCACACUGGUACUGAGACACGGACCAGACUCCUACGGGAGGCAGCAGUGAGGAAUAUUGCACAAUGGAGGAAACUCUGAUGCAGCAACGCCGCGUGGAGGAUGACGCAUUUCGGUGUGUAAACUCCUUUUAUAAGAGAAGAAAAUGACGGUAUCUUAUGAAUAAGUCCCGGCUAACUCCGUGCCAGCAGCCGCGGUAAUACGGAGGGGACAAGCGUUAUUCGAAAUCACUGGGCGUAAAGGACGCGUAGGCGGGACAGUAAGUCAGGUGUGAAAUCCUAUGGCUCAACCAUAGAACUGCAUUUGAAACUGCUGACCUAGAGUAUGGAAGGGGCAGGUGGAAUUAGUGGUGUAGGGGUAAAAUCCGUAGAUAUCACUAGGAAUACCGAAAGCGAAGGCGACCUGCUGGGACAUUACUGACGCUGAGGCGUGAAAGCGUGGGGAGCAAACAGGAUUAGAUACCCUGGUAGUCCACGCCCUAAACGAUGAAUGCUAGUCGUCGGGGCUCUAGUAGCUUCGGUGAUGCACUUAACAGAUUAAGCAUUCCGCCUGGGGAGUACGGUCGCAAGAUUAAAACUCAAAGGAAUAGACGGGGACCCGCACAAGUGGUGGAGCAUGUGGUUUAAUUCGAAGAUACGCGAAGAACCUUACCUAGCCUUGACAUUGAUUGAAUUUUCCAGAGAUGGAGAAGUGCCUUUCGGGGAACAUGAAAACAGGUGCUGCACGGCUGUCGUCAGCUCGUGUCGUGAGAUGUUGGG
rnacentral:rRNA from 1 species